UACGCGAUUCUCCGCAUUUCUCCUGCUGGAAGCAAGAACCAGGCAAGAGCACUCUGACCUCCGUUUGAAUGUGUGAGGUACAAUGACAUUGCUAAGUAUGGUUUUGAAGCCGCACAGAACUCUGGUCCUGUGAAAGUGAUCCUGUGGGAGAGGAAGAGAAAUUAACCUUGCAAAAUACAGGUCAUGUUCGAAGACGUGAUGGCCUGGGAGAGAGAGCAGUUGUAUUCUAUACUUCUUUUAAGCUUCUUCUUCAUAGAGGUACAAGUGGAACCUUCAUAAUUCAGAUCUGGACAAACGGCUGAACUUUUUUGAAUCUAACUGGGCAUUCUUUUUAGGUUUUGGUAAAGUACUUUCUAACUUUAUUAUUGUUUUUGAGUCAGUUUGUCAUAUAUAUAAUUUUCAAUUUCUGCAGGUUAGGAGUGGUUUAUUUAACAUGAGAAUUCAUACUACUUGUUUCACAUGGUUUCUAUUUUAUUGUUUGAUCAAUAAUUGUGACCUCAAUUUUAAAUUGGUAACUUCUAAGUUAUGUGGCCUUCCUAUGUGAA